rnacentral:rRNA from 1 species
GAUGCCCUGGCAGUCAGAGGCGAUGAAGGGCGUGCUAAUCUGCGAUAAGCGCCGGUAAGGUGAUAUGAACCGUUAUAACCGGCGAUACCCGAAUGGGGAAACCCAGUGUGAUUCGUCACACUAUCAUUAACUGAAUCCAUAGGUUAAUGAGGCGAACCGGGGGAACUGAAACAUCUAAGUACCCCGAGGAAAAGAAAUCAACCGAGAUUCCCCCAGUAGCGGCGAGCGAACGGGGAGGAGCCCAGAGCCUGAAUCAGCAUGUGUGUUAGUGGAAGCGUCUGGAAAGGCGCGCGAUACAGGGUGACAGCCCCGUACACAAAAGCGCAUGUGCUGUGAGCUCGAUGAGUAGGGCGGGACACGUGGUAUCCUGUCUGAAUAUGGGGGGACCAUCCUCCAAGGCUAAAUACUCCUGACUGACCGAUAGUGAACCAGUACCGUGAGGGAAAGGCGAAAAGAACCCCGGCGAGGGGAGUGAAAAAGAACCUGAAACCGUGUACGUACAAGCAGUGGGAGCACCCUUUGGGUG